GAAAACCUAAAAACUACCGUUGCAUAAAAAAAACAUCUGAGAUUCGUUCACGUCAUCACGAGUAAAAAUUUUACUUACAGAUUCACUCAUGAGUUCAAAUUUUACUCGGAGUAAAAUUUUAACUCAUGGUGUCAUGGACGAAUAUCGGAUGUCUAUUUUUCGAUCUAACUGUUGUUUUCAAGUUUUC
rnacentral:pre_miRNA from 2 species